rnacentral:lncRNA from 12 species
GAGAAGAUCACAAAACAAGAGAAGUAUUUGCUGUCACUCAAACUUGUGUCGCGGCUGUCGAGAGCAAAGACUUCUGCUUUGCCGAUCGCUUACAGUCUCAUAGAAACUCAAAGAAAACUCGUUCUUUCUCUCUCGAAAUGAAUCAACAGUUUUCUCCGAUUGUCAGCUGUCCAAUAAUCUCUGACCUUUCAGACGCCUGCAGUUCAAUUACUCGCCAAACGAACGCUUCCCACGUUGAGCCGCCGCUGAUGGCGUGAUGAACUUUACAGCGGCGUGUUUCCUCAUUCCCUCCGCUGGCUGAUUCCUGAGAUUAGACUGAUGGGACGAGCGAGGAGCUUUCAUGUGUGUUUGUGUGGUUUUAAAUUGAACUGCUUUUGUUUUUCAGCUCCUGAGUCCUCAGGAUCUUCGCCAGGGCUUUCAGAGAGCGGCUCUGGAAGCUGUCAUCGCUGGGCUGAGCAGCGACUGUCCCUCGUUACGCACGGUGAUCCGUCUCCUCCACGACUGCUGCUGUCACCGUGGCAACUGUCAAUCAAUCGCAUCGACAGCUGGAGAGAGCGAGAUACAGUAAUAAGGUUGUGAGAGCGUUGCAGGAGCGUUGUGAGCUGGCACACUC